AAAUUGCGUUAGGGAUUGCAACGGCAUCCUUUUUUGCCUGAGCAAAAAAGAUAUAGUGGAAAGCCCGACCACAA
rnacentral:sRNA from 1 species